GCAACGCCGCGUGAGUGAAGAAGGUUUUCGGAUCGUAAAGCUCUGUUGUAAGUCAAGAACGUGUGUGAGAGUGGAAAGUUCACACAGUGACGGUAGCUUACCAGAAAGGGACGGCUAACUACGUGCCAGCAGCCGCGGUAAUACGUAGGUCCCGAGCGUUGUCCGGAUUUAUUGGGCGUAAAGGGAGCGCAGGCGGUCAGGAAAGUCUGGAGUAAAAGGCUAUGGCUCAACCAUAGUGUGCUCUGGAAACUGUCUGACUUGAGUGCAGAAGGGGAGAGUGGAAUUCCAUGUGUAGCGGUGAAAUGCGUAGAUAUAUGGAGGAACACCAGUGGCGAAAGCGGCUCUCUGGUCUGUCACUGACGCUGAGGCUCGAAAGCGUGGGUAGCGAACAGGAUUAGAUACCCUGUAGUCCACGCCGUAAACGAUGAGUGCUAGGUGUUAGGCCCUUUCCGGGGCUUAGUGCCGGAGCUAACGCAAUAAGCACUCCGCCUGGGGAGUACGACCGCAAGGUUGAAACUCAAAGGAAUUGACGGGGGCCCGCACAAGCGGUGGAGCAUGUGGUUUAAUUCGAAGCAACGCGAAGAACCUUACCAGGUCUUGACAUCCCGAUGCUAUUCUUAGAGAUAGGAAGUUACUUCGGUACAUCGGAGACAGGUU
rnacentral:rRNA from 1 species